rnacentral:rRNA from 1 species
ACCCGCUGAACUUAAGCAUAUCAAUAAGCGGAGGAAAAGAAACCAACAGGGAUUGCCCUAGUAACGGCGAGUGAAGCGGCAACAGCUCAAAUUUGAAAUCUGGCCCUAGGCCCGAAUUGUAAUUUGUAGAGGAUGCUUCUGGUGACGUGCCUUCUGAGUUCCCUGGAACGGGACGCCAGAGAGGGUGAGAGCCCCGUAUAGUCGGCCACUGAACCUCUGUGAAGCCCCUUCGACGAGUCGAGUAGUUUGGGAAUGCUGCUCAAAAUGGGAGGUAAACUUCUUCUAAAGCUAAAUACCGGCCAGAGACCGAUAGCGCACAAGUAGAGUGAUCGAAAGAUGAAAAGCACUUUGAAAAGAGGGUUAAAAAGUACGUGAAACAAUUGAAAAGGAAGCACUUGUGACCAGACUUGUGCCGCGCGAAUCAUCCAGCGUUCUCGCUGGUGCACUUUGCGCGGUUCAGGCCAGCAUCGGUUUUCCUAGGGGGACAAAAGCUCUGGGAACGUGGCUCCUCCGGGAGUGUUAUAGCCCUCUGCACAAUACCCUUGGGGGGACCGAGGUUCGCGCUCUGCAAGGAUGCUGGCGUAAUGGUCAUCAGUGGCCCGUCUUGAAACACGG